GGAUUCCUUCCCUCCGGAACCCCGAGCUCCUCUAGAGUGGUCAGCAUGGCCUGGGCUCUGGUCUUCUGGACCCUGCUCAGUUUUUGUGCAGGUCUCAGCACCCAACAAGUCCUCACUCAGCCUCCGUCUCAGUCCAUGUCUCUGGGCCAAACAGUUAAACUCUCCUGCACUGGAAGUGGUGGCGGCAGCUGGAACUAUUUCAGCUGGCACCGACAGCUGCCUGGACAGGGCCCCAAAUUCGUGCUGUAUGGAAGCAACAAGGGAGAAGGGAUCCCAGAUCGGUUCUCGGGUUCCAGCUCUGGGAACCCCAACUAUCUAACCAUCACCAACGCCCAGCCAGAGGAUGAGGCAGACUAUUACUGUGCUGCCUGGGAGAACAACAACAAUGGGUAUCACAGUGGUUGAUUCUGGUGGGGAACUGAGACAAAAACCUCUCUUUUCCUCCCCAGCAUGAGAGACCUUGAAUCUGUAGAGGGUUCAGGAAGGCCCCAGGCUGCACAGAGAGUUCGGCAGGGUUCUCUGCUUCUUAUUCCAUUCAGCUGGCCGCAAGGUGGCGGUGUUGGUCCACUCUUUGGCAUUUGCCGGGAUUAG